rnacentral:rRNA from 1 species
AUUGAACGCUGGCGGCAUGCUUUACACAUGCAAGUCGAACGGCAGCACGGGCUUCGGCCUGGUGGCGAGUGGCGAACGGGUGAGUAAUAUAUCGGAACGUACCCAGAAGUGGGGGAUAACGUAGCGAAAGGUACGCUAAUACCGCAUACGAUCUAUGGAUGAAAGCAGGGGACCGCAAGGCCUUGUGCUCCUGGAGCGGCCGAUAUCUGAUUAGCUAGUUGGUGAGGUAAAGGCGCACCAAGGCGACGAUCAGUAGCUGGUCUGAGAGGACGACCAGCCACACUGGAACUGAGACACGGUCCAGACUCCUACGGGAGGCAGCAGUGGGGAAUUUUGGACAAUGGGCGCAAGCCUGAUCCAGCAAUGCCGCGUGAGUGAAGAAGGCCUUCGGGUUGUAAAGCUCUUUUGUCAGGGAAGAAACGGUAGAGGCUAAUAUCCUUUGCUAAUGACGGUACCUGAAGAAUAAGCACCGGCUAACUACGUG